UGCUGCUGUUUCAUCAAGGAGAAAGGAGGUGACCACCCUCAGAGGAACUUCAUGCUCUACAGUACAGUCCUUACUGCAUUUCGUGGUCUUGGAUCUCGGGAUUCAGUAUGCUUUUGAGUGUCACGUGGAGAAGUGUGGAAGGCGUUCCUCCAUGGAAGAGCGGUGACCGGAGCGUGAGCUGAUACCUGGCAGACAAGCUGGAUGUCAUUGCAACUGGUGGCAUAAGGAGAAGACAACAAGAUGCUUGUGUGGUUGUGCGUGCCGGGACUUGAUUGCGUCUUUUCUCAGACUACACUGUUUUUACUUGUACACAUGUAAAAUAAAUAUUG
rnacentral:lncRNA from 1 species